rnacentral:tRNA from 2 species
GCAGGUGUAGUUCAAUGGUAGAACACUACCUUGCCAAGGUAGUUACGCGGGUUCGAUUCCCGUCACCUGCUCCA